UGCAGUCGAGCGGUAACAGGGGGAGCUUGCUCCCUGCUGACGAGCGGCGGACGGGUGAGUAAUGCUUAGGAAUCUGCCUGGUAGUGGGGGAUAGCCCGGGGAAACCCGGAUUAAUACCGCAUACGCCCUACCGGGGAAAGCAGGGGAUCUUCGGACCUUGCGCUAUUGGAUGAGCCUAAGUCGGAUUAGCUAGUUGGUGGGGUAAAGGCCUACCAAGGCGACGAUCCGUAGCUGGUCUGAGAGGAUGAUCAGCCACAUCGGGACUGAGACACGGCCCGAACUCCUACGGGAGGCAGCAGUGGGGAAUAUUGGACAAUGGGGGCAACCCUGAUCCAGCCAUGCCGCGUGUGUGAAGAAGGCUUUCGGGUUGUAAAGCACUUUCAGCGAGGAGGAAGGCUCAAAGGUUAAUACCCUUUGGGAUUGACGUUACUCGCAGAAGAAGCACCGGCUAACUCCGUGCCAGCAGCCGCGGUAAUACGGAGGGUGCAAGCGUUAAUCGGAAUUACUGGGCGUAAAGCGCGCGUAGGUGGUUUGAUAAGCGAGAUGUGAAAGCCUCGGGCUUAACCUGGGAACGGCAUUUCGAACUGUCAGACUAGAGUGUGGUAGAGGGUAGUGGAAUUUCC
rnacentral:rRNA from 1 species